rnacentral:misc_RNA from 1 species
AAGUCGUAACAAGGUCUCCGUUGGUGAACCAGCGGAGGGAUCAUUACUGAGUUCUACAAAACUCCCAACCCUUUGUGAAUUAUACCUUAGUUGCCUCGGCGUCGAGCGAGUCAACCUACCCGGGAGCUACCCUGGAGUCACCUACCCUGUAGAACCUACCCUGUAGGACCUACCCUGUAGACGGCUACCCUGGAGCUGCCCUGUAGUUGCACUUUCGCGUCGCCGGUGGACUACCAAACUCUUAUAUGUAUAGUGUAUCUCUGAAUUCUUAACAAAAUUAGUUAAAACUUUCAACAACGGAUCUCUUGGUUCUG